rnacentral:rRNA from 1 species
GGGCUCACACAAGCGGUGGAGCAUGUGGCUUAAUUCGAGGCAACGCGAAGAACCUUAUCCUGGGUUUGACAUGUACGGAUGGCUCGCCUGAAAGGGAUGAGUCUGCCUUCGGGUGAAACGUACACAGGUGCUGCAUGGCUGUCGUCAGCUCGUGUCGUGAGAUGUAGGGUUAAGUCCUUAAACGAGCGCAACCCUUGUCCUUAGUUGCCAGCGGGUCAUGCCGGGGACUCUAGGGAGACCGCCGGUGUUAAACCGGAGGAAGGUGAGGACGACGUCAAGUCAUCAUGGCCCUUACGAGUAGGGCUACACACGUGCUACAAUGGGGAAUACAGACGGACGCUAAGCCGCGAGGGCAAGCAAAUCUCAAAAAGCGUCUCUCAGUUCGGAUUGCAGGCUGCAACUCGCCUGCAUGAAGCUGGAAUCGCUAGUAA